AACGCACAUUGCGCCCGCGAGUAUUCUCGCGGGCAUGCCUGUCCGAGCGUCAUUUCAACCCUCAGGGCCCGCCUGCUUGCAGGCGCGGCGCUGGCGUUGGGGAUCGGCCCUCACCGGUCGUCCCCCAAAUACAGUGGCGGUCUCGCUGCAGCCUCCCCUGCGUAGUAGCAACACUCGCACGCGGGGCGCGGCGCGGCCACGCCGUAAAACCCCCGACUUUCUGAACGUUGACCUCGGAUCAGGUAGGAAUACCCGCUGAACUUAA
rnacentral:misc_RNA from 1 species